CUGAUCUGAAAUGGUUAAUUAAGGAGUGAGCUACACUAGCCCAGUAAGAACAUCACGAUAUCUCACCGUCACGGAGAUAAAGGUGGGUAGAAAACCACAAAAAGACCAAUGGAGCAUAAUUUACAACAAACUCGUUUAUUAACAUGAAAACCUUUACCAUCCACUUACCUUGGUGGAAUUUAUGAAAACAAUAUGAGAAAAACAGUAACAUCAUCAUAAUCAUUGAAUAAUCUAAGCUGUAAAACAUAACACUUAUCACGCCUCUUGUAAUUCAAUCAUUGUACAACAUAUCUCUUUUCUCAUUUACCAGCCUACUAGUAUCCGUGGGGGUCCAUAGGGGUUCCGCUACCCGUUAAUCUUUAACAUUCAUAAUCAGUUUCCAGGGCCGUCCCCAUACCCCGUUCGGUAUGGGCGCCAAAACCAUAAACCUCAAUACCCCGUCC
rnacentral:lncRNA from 1 species